CCUACGGGCGGCUGCAGUGGGGAAUAUUGCACAAUGGGCGCAAGCCUGAUGCAGCCAUGCCGCGUGUGUGAAGAAGGCCUUCGGGUUGUAAAGCACUUUCAGCGGGGAGGAAGGCGUUAAGGUUAAUAACCUUGUCGAUUGACGUUACCCGCAGAAGAAGCACCGGCUAACUCCGUGCCAGCAGCCGCGGUAAUACGGAGGGUGCAAGCGUUAAUCGGAAUUACUGGGCGUAAAGCGCACGCAGGCGGUCUGUCAAGUCGGAUGUGAAAUCCCCGGGCUCAACCUGGGAACUGCAUUCGAAACGGGCAGGCUAGAGUCUUGUAGAGGGGGGUAGAAUUCCAGGUGUAGCGGUGAAAUGCGUAGAGAUCUGGAGGAAUACCGGUGGCGAAGGCGGCCCCCUGGACAAAGACUGACACUCAGGUGCGAAAGCGUGGGGAGCAAACAGGAUUAGAUACCCGUGUAGUC
rnacentral:rRNA from 1 species